UACAGAGGGUGCAAGCGUUAAUCGGAAUUACUGGGCGUAAAGCGUGCGUAGUCGGUUAUCUAAGUCGGGUGUGAAAUCCCCGGGCUCAACCUGGGAAUUGCAUUCGAUACUGGAUAGCUAGAGUUCGGCAGAGGGAAGCGGAAUUUCGGGUGUAGCGGUGAAAUGCGUAGAGAUGUGGAGGAACACCAGUGGCGAAGGCGGCUUUCUGGUCUGUAACUGACGCUGAGGCGCGAAAGCGUGGGGAGCAAACAGG
rnacentral:rRNA from 1 species